AAGGGCACCACAAGAACGCGUGGAGCAUGUGGCUUAAUUUGACUCAACGCGGGAAAUCUUACCGGGUCCGGACACACUGAGGAUUGACAGGCAAUAUUAAUUUCUGAGUUCGCUCAGUUAUUAUGUUAAAUAUGCUAGUCCUUUCAUGAUUAUGUGAUAGGUGGUGCAUGGCCGUUCUUAGUUCGUGGAGUGAUCUGUCUGCUUAAUUGCGUUUCACUAAGGGCCUAUAAAUUUACGUGUGUUGCGGCACUUUGACCCCUCUUAUUUAUUUAAGAGCGCGCGUCUUAGUUUGCUUAGCUCACACAAUUAGGUCCUGAAAGCAACGAACGUGACCGCAACCUCUUGUUGCCUUUAUACCAAACAUGUUUAUUACCUUCGGGUGUUUUCAUGAAAAAAGGCUUUUUAAACUAGAGGGACCGCUGUUACUUUCUUAAACCAGAGGAAGGUUGCGGCAAUAACAGGUCUGUGAUGCCCUUAGAUGUUCCGGGCUGCACACGUGCUACAAUGAUUAUUGCAGUGAGCAUCUCAUUUUUUACACACCGCAUACGCGAGUCCAUUUAUUUCAUCUUUCGGGGUGCUUUUAAAUGUGUAUCUCUGCGAGCGGUAAAGCCUGCUUCGAAAGUAAGUAGGUAAUCAAUUAGAAGUAAUGAUUUCCUUUUUUUUAGCACACAUAUAUACGGCGUUUAUACCCGGGCUGCCUUGUUGUAGCUUUUGUGCGUAUAGAUGUUUUUUCCGUAUGUGCGAUUGUCAAUUCAUGGUGGGGACAGACCAUUGUUAAUUGUUGGUCUCGGUCUUAACUAGGAAUGCCUUGUACGGGUCUUUGGUUCAACAAACCACCCGGAAUACGUCCCUGCCCUUUGUACACACCGCCCGUCGCUCUUACCGAUGGACUUCUCUGUGAGUUUGAGGGACUGGGAACGCAAUGAUUUAUCAUUUGCACACCUAUGGAAACUUAAACGAACAGUGUGGUCUAAAGGAAAGAGAAGUCGAACAAGGCA
rnacentral:rRNA from 1 species